rnacentral:misc_RNA from 1 species
GUGCUUUCCAUUUUCAUAUCUGGUUGCUGAUCUUGCCAGCCUAUACGGUAUACACCCUUUCUGAUCGAGCCUGUCAAUAACAGGACCAGCAUAAAUGUCCAGUUGAUCGGUGUACACAACAAUUUCAUAGAACUUGGCCAUGUGUUCCAAGAAAGCAUUAACUCCAGGCCUUUUAAAUGUUCUCCAGCCUCUAUCACGCUUCCAAUCAGAGUAGAUUAGAGUUUCAUUGAGAUCCAAAACAAGAGUAAAGGGAUUCCCCAAUUCAGGAGGUAAAUCAGGAAGAAGUUUGCCAGAUAAAGGUUCUGC